rnacentral:misc_RNA from 1 species
UUCCCACUGUAAAUUUACAAUCAGAUACUAUUUUUACAUACCUGAAAGUGUAAUCUGUUGUUAUGCGUCCACUAUAUCGUUGCUAGUUGUCUGUUAUCUAAUUUGAUACUCUUUUUGGUAUAUCAGCGAACAAUACAGUUGAAAUGGCACCUCGUGAAAUAUGUAUAGCAACACUUUGCGAGUAUUUUAAAUAGUUACAAAUUUAUAAAAGAACAUUAGAACU